AGGAAGGAGUAAUAGCUGCAGCCAAUGAAUAUGGAGCAGUGGUCUGAUUUUCAAGUAUAGUGAAGGAUGGAAAAAGACAGGAAAGAGAGCUGGCUUUCUCGAAGAGUCGUUACUGGAGAGAGGGGUUCUUGGGGAGACCUCUGAAAACUCUGGGCUUAUAAAUCAGGUGAAGUGUGUGCUGUUCCACGCGUGGAAAGGUACAAUGAGGUCAAGAAUCAACAAUGAAGUGGUGGGAGAAUAAGCCCUUGAGAAAGCAGGAAUUAAUGUCAUAAGCAUUUCAUGGACAACCCUGUGGGUCUGUGGCUUUGGCCAACUUAAGAGGACCCCCAAAUAUUUGUCAAGAUCUCUCAGGACCCCCAGACAUCUAGUAGAGGAGUGGGGAAGGCAAGUGAAGGCAAAAGAGGUCUGAAGGCCUUGAAGAUUGGAAAAGGGUCAAGGAUUCAAUUUCAAGAUAAAGGGAAAGUACAAUUUCAGUAGCUCAUUUUACAGAUGAGGAAACUGAAGCAAACAGGGUUAAAUGACUUGCCCAGGGUCUCACAAUGAGUAAGUAUUUGAGCCCAGAUUUUUUUUAAACCCUUACUUGUAUUGAUUCUAAGGCAGAAGAGUAGCAAGGGCUAGGCAAUGGGGGUUAAGUGACUUGCCCAGGGUCACAUAGCUAGGAAGUGUCUGAAGCCAAAUUUGAAUCCAGGACCUCCCAUCUCUAGUCCUGAGCCCAGGUUUUAACUCAGAAAGAUGGGUCUUCUUGACUCCAGGCCCCAGCGUUCUAUCCACUGCACCACCUAG